AUGAACGCUGGCGGCGUGCCUAAUACAUGCAAGUCGAGCGAACAGACGAGGAGCUUGCUCCUCUGACGUUAGCGGCGGACGGGUGAGUAACACGUGGAUAACCUACCUAUAAGACUGGGAUAACUUCGGGAAACCGGAGCUAAUACCGGAUAAUAUAUUGAACCGCAUGGUUCAAUAGUGAAAGACGGUUUUGCUGUCACUUUUAGAUGGAUCCGCGCCGCAUUAGCUAGUUGGUAAGGUAACGGCUUACCAAGGCGACGAUGCGUAGCCGACCAGAGAGGGUGAUCGGCCACACUGGAACUGAGACACGGUCCAGACUCCUACGGGAGGCAGCAGUAGGGAAUCUUCCGCAAUGGGCGAAAGCCUGACGGAGCAACGCCGCGUGAGUGAUGAAGGUCUUCGGAUCGUAAAACUCUGUUAUUAGGGAAGAACAAAUGUGUAAGUAACUAUGCACGUCUUGACGGUACCUAAUCAGAAAGCCACGGCUAACUACGUG
rnacentral:rRNA from 1 species